rnacentral:rRNA from 1 species
UGAUCAGCCACACUGGAACUGGAACACGGUCCAGACUCCUACGGGAGGCAGCAGUGAGGAAUUUUGCGCAAUGGGGGAAACCCUGACGCAGCAACGCCGCGUGAGUGAAGAAGGCUCUUGGGUCGUAAAGCUCUGUCAACUGGGAAGAAAUUAGUAUCAUUUAAUAGAUGUUGCUAUUGACGGUACCAGUGGAGGAAGCGCCGGCUAACUCCGUGCCAGCAGCCGCGGUAACACGGGGGCGCAAGCGUUAUUCGGAAUUAUUGGGCGUAAGGGCGCGUAGGCGGUCUUGUCGGUCAGGUGUGAAAGCCCGGGGCUCAACCCUGGAAGUGCACUUGAAACAGCAAGACUUGAGUACUGGAGAGGAAAGCGGAAUUCCUGGUGUAGAGGUGAAAUUCGUAGAUAUCAGGAGGAACACCGAUGGCGAAGGCAGCUUUCUGGACAGAUACUGACGCUGAGGCGCGAAGGCGUGGGUAGCGAACGGGAUUAGAUACCCCGGUAGUCCACGCAUUAAACGUUGUACACUCGGUGUGCCGGAUAUUAAAAUCUGGUGUGCCUAAGUUAACACAUUAAGUGUACCGCCUGGGGAGUACGGUCGCAAGACUAAAACCCAAAGGAAUUGACGGGGGCCCGCACAAGCGGUGGAGCAUGUGGUUUAAUUCGACAACGCGAAGAACCUUACCUGGGUUUGACAUCCUGUGAAUAUUCCGUAAUUGGAAUAGUGCCUUCGGGAGCACAGUGACAGGUGCUGCAUGGCUGUCGUCAGCUCGUGUCGUGAGAUGUUUGGUUAAGUCCAGCAACGAGCGCAACCCUUAUCUUUAGUUGCCAGCGCGUAAUGGCGGGAACUCUAUAGAGACUGCCCGGGUUAACCGGGAGGAAGGCGGGGAUGACGUCAAGUCCUCAUGGCCCUUAUAUCCAGGGCUACACACGUGCUACAAUGGUAAAUACAGAGGGCAGCGAGCCGGUGACGGCGAGCGAAUCCCUAAAGUUUAUCUCAGUCCGGAUUGGAGUCUGCAACUCGACUCCAUGAAGUUGGAAUCGCUAGUAAUCGCGGAUCAGCAUGCCGCGGUGAAUAUGUUCCCGGGCCUUGUACACACCGCCCGUCACACCAUGGGGGUUGAUUAUACCCGACGUCGCUGGGCUAACCCUUCGGGGGGGCAGGCGCCUAAGGUAUGGUUGAUAACUGGGGUGAAGUCGAAACAAGGUA